UCUGGGUUCCCUCCAGGUCCUCUGACAAACGGUCGUCACAUUGGAACAUCACCGGCUGCCGUGGACACAGAGCCUGCACACUCCGGAAAGCAAUCCACACUUGCACACCUUAAAAAUGGAUAAGCCUGGGGCUGGAGCGAUAGUCCAGCGGGUAAGGCACUUGCCUUGCACACGGCCGACCUGGGUUCGAUCCCUGGCACUCCACAGGGCUCCUGAGUGCAGAGCCAGGAAUGAUCCCUGAGUCCCACUGGGUGUGGCCCUGACACUUUUUUUUUUUAACUAUAAGCCUAUACUUUAAACAACCAGGUAAGUUAUUUGCAUUUUUAUUUGGUACCGGAUUAGAUGGUUUUGCUUUUGUAUUAGUUAGGAAUUUCAAAACAUCAACUUCUCAGGCAAUCGGAAGCGAGAUGCUCUUUAAAUGUCUCCCCAAGGGAGACCGAGGUAAUAACUCUGUCUUUACUCCCAACUUCUUUUCUUCCGCAGUGCUCAGUCCCGUUGCUUUAUUUGGUGCUGCUAGUCACGGGUUCAGCAGCGCCUGCUGGAACUCUCGCCUCCGCCCGUGUGAGGCCGUGAGUGAGAGUCGCACGAAAGGGGGGUCCCGGGCCCCGCCUCCCACCCAGGGCCUCUCUCCACGCCCGUCAGGAGGCAGCCUGGGGUUCUCACAGUGGACCUACGUGUGGACAGAAUUGGGCCGUGGUUCCCCUCACCCGAGACUCCCGGCCACUCCACAGGCCUGACCAGCCCUCGGCUCUGCGGGACGUGCGGCUGCACCCGGCCCGAGCACUCUCGCAGGAGGCUCGUCGCCCCGAGCUGCUUCCCGGGGAGGCUUUCGGGGCCAGGCCGGUCGCCCAGAGGCCCAGGGCAGCGCGCCUGCAAGGCUGCGGGGAGUGACCGGCACACGUGGCCAGCACUGAGACUCCCCGUGGACACCCAGCAGGGUCCUGAGGAAGGCCCGGCACAAAGGCCGGCUGCAGCGGCCAGUCUCCCGGCCCUCGCCUGGACACCGGAAGCUGGAGUCAUCGGCCGCCUGCAGAGCCGUCGAGGAAAAGUCGUGAGUUCUUCACUCUGCUUCAGGAGAGAGUUGGCCACGUCUCUGCUCUCACCCACGGGAUGAGACGAGUGUUUGCGGCACACCGCGGCCCGCCUGCUCCGCUCGGCCUGCCCUCCCACACAGGCCCUCUCGACGGCUGCCAGGACACUCCGUGGAUUUCCCCAGCUCACUGGGCAUCGCUCUGUGCCAACUAAUCAGCAGUGCUCAAUUCAGACCCCUCUGCUCUCUUACCAAUGAGCUUCCCGGAGCCAACGGUCGCGGAUGCAGGGGCCAGUGCUUGGCACUUCAGCGUCAGCCCGAGGGGCUCAGGCGAUGGCCGGGCCCCCCACCCAGGCGCCUGGGGCGGGCUCCUCGCUGCAGAAUGGGCCUAGAGCCGCUCAUGCCGUCCCAGACCACCGGGGCUCCGGGGAACGUGCUCAGUGCGCGGUCAUGUGACUCGGCCCUGCUGCUGGAGGGGCCAGGCUGGGCCCGGGAGCAGCACCUGGGCGGGAGGGGCCGCCUGGCUUCCAGGGUCCUUGGACAGGAGCCACGCCGGGGCCCGCCCACGGUAGGGCCAGUGGGGUCGCCAUGUCACACAGCACACGGGCAGGCUUUCUGUCGCACUCACACGAGCAGUCACACUCCGGCACAGACAGAUGCCCACAGUCACACAGUCAUACACAGAUGUACAAUCACACACAGUCACAUCGACACAGUCACACACAGAGAUGCACACAGUCACAUAGUCACACACCGAUGCACAAUCACACACAGUCACAUGGACACAGUCACACACAGAGAUGCACACAGUCACAUAGUCACACACAGAUGCACACAGUCACACAGUCACACACAGAUGCCCACAGUCACACAGUCACACACACAGAUGCCCACAGUCACACAGUCACACA